UCAACCAAUAGGAUUUUGCAAAGCCUCCUAAACUGACGGUAACGAUGAAUAACCGGUAGUAUUGAAGAGACAUCUGUGUUGCGCUAUCCCGUUAACAAAAUAGUUUUAAAAUACCCAUCUAAAACGUGCAAACAUCAUGGUUUUCCAUGUAAGGAGAAUAAUACGAAAUGCUCUGAGACCAGGCUGGGUAUACUGUUCCAAAGCACACAGCCAUUGUUUGCAUACAGCUGGUCAUCAUGGCUGGGAUGCCUGGCUGCCUGAGCUGUAGGAACGGCUUUAAGUUGCUUCAUCAAGAUGUCCUGGGGGGCAGUGUGGCCCCGAUGAUGCAAUAUGGAGCCCAGUGGACUCCGCCCCGUGUGGAGCUCGGUCAUGUGCCGAGGACGCCCGUUGGCUCGGUCACGGACAGAGUCGGCUGAGCUCCAUAUGUGGUGUUGGACUCGUAACCUAAAGGUUGUUGGAUCGAAUCAUCUGAGCUGACAAGGUUGGAUGUCUACAGGAAAGUCCCCAAAGACCUGACCCAGCCCACGUACACAGGAGCUGUGGUGUCCAUUAUCUCCUGUCUUCAUGUUGUUUCUCUCUGAGCUGAAGGGAUUCAUAGCCACUGAAAUGUAAGUACAUACACACACCUCCUCUACCUCCACUGACACAUUAAAUACUGAAAGUACCCGAUGAGCCCAUGAUUUCCUGGUUUUAAACCCAGAGACAUUCAGUGGAAGUUAAUAAAACUCUCUAUUGUUCUGGCUCUUGGUCUUCAUCUGGGGUUUUCCCCUAAAACACACAGGAAUACCCCCCACAUCCAGAGGUAUGAACAGACGUCAUUCAUAGCCAAUCAACUGUAAGUACAAUACAGCACCAUAUCUCCUGUCUUAACUACAGGUCUAGGGUCAGGUUACCUUCACUCCGUGUCAUCUGAGAUACAGUCCACACACUCGUCUCCACUCAACUCUGUUGAUGUGAAGUCCAUGGUGGAGUUGUACUCGCCUAUCCCUUAACUAUUACGGUGACGAUAACAUAAUGUCUACUGAUCUGGAGUCAGAUAAAGUAUCAACCCUCCUGAUAUGGAUCCCCAGUAGCUGAUUCCAUGACUACAUCUGACAAUGUUGGUUAGGGACAUCAUCUAUGCUGGACAGAGUAGUGUUGGUUAGGGACAUCAUCUAUGCUGGACAGAUUAGUGUUGGUUAGGGACAUCAUCUAUGCUGGACAGAUUAGUGUUGGUUAGGGACAUCAUCUAUGCUGGACAGAGUAGUGUUGGUUAGGGACAUCAUCUAUGCUGGACAGAGUAGUGUUGGUUAGGGACAUCAUCUAUGCUGGACAGAGUAGUGUUGGUUAGGGACAUCAUCUAUGCUGGACAGAGUAGUGUUGGUUAGGGACAUCAUCUAUGCUGGACAGAUUAGUGUUGGUUAGGGACAUCAUCUAUGCUGGACAGAUUAGUGUUGGUUAGGGACAUCAUCUAUGCUGGACAGAUUAGUGUUGGUUAGGGACAUCAUCUAUGCUGGACAGAGUAGUGUUGGUUAGGGACAUCAUCUAUGCUGGACAGAUUAGUGUUGGUUAGGGACAUCAUCUAUGCUGGACAGAUUAGUGUUGGUUAGGGACAUCAUCUAUGCUGGACAGAGUAGUGUUGGUUAGGGACAUCAUCUAUGCUGGACAGAUUAGUGUUGGUUAGGGACAUCAUCUAU